rnacentral:rRNA from 1 species
AACGAACGCUGGCGGCAUGCCUAACACAUGCAAGUCGAACGAGACCUUCGGGUCUAGUGGCGCACGGGUGCGUAACGCGUGGGAACCUGCCCUUAGGUUCGGAAUAACUCCCCGAAAGGGGUACUAAUACCGGAUAAUGUCUUCGGACCAAAGAUUUAUCGCCUUUGGAUGGGCCCGCGUUGGAUUAGCUAGUUGGUAGGGUAAAAGCCUACCAAGGCGACGAUCCAUAGCUGGUCUGAGAGGAUGAUCAGCCACACUGGGACUGAGACACGGCCCAGACUCCUACGGGAGGCAGCAGUGGGGAAUAUUGGACAAUGGGCGAAAGCCUGAUCCAGCAAUGCCGCGUGAGUGAUGAAGGCCUUAGGGUUGUAAAGCUCUUUUACCCGGGAUGAUAAUGACAGCACCGGGAGAAUAAGCUCCGGCUAACUCCGUG